rnacentral:rRNA from 1 species
GAUGAACGCUGGCGGCGUGCCUAAUACAUGCAAGUCGAGCGAACGGACGAGAAGCUUGCUUCUCUGAUGUUAGCGGCGGACGGGUGAGUAACACGUGGAUAACCCACCUAUAAGACUGGGAUAACUUCGGGAAACCGGAGCUAAUACCGGAUAAUAUUUUGAACCGCAUGGUUCAAAAGUGAAAGACGGUCUUGCUGUCACUUAUAGAUGGAUCCGCGCUGCAUUAGCUAGUUGGUAAGGUAACGGCUUACCAAGGCAACGAUGCAUAGCCGACGUGAGAGGGUGAACGGCCACACUGGAACUGAGACACGGUCCAGACUCCUACGGGAGGCAGCAGUAGGGAAUCUUCCGCAAUGGGCGAAAGCCUGACGGAGCAACGCCGCGUGAGUGAUGAGGGUCUUCGGAUCGUAAAACUCUGUUAUUAGGGAAGAACAUAUGUGUAAGUAACUGUGCACAUCGUGACGGUACCUAAUCAGAAAGCCACGGCUAACUACGUG